UACAGAGGGUGCAAGCGUUUAAUCGGAAUUACUGGGCGUAAAGCGUGCGCAGGCGGUUUUGUAAGUCUGUCGUGAAAUCCCCGGGCUCAACCUGGGAAUUGCGAUGGAGACUGCAAGGCUAGAAUCUGGCAGAGGGGGGUAGAAUUCCACGUGUAGCAGUGAAAUGCGUAGAGAUGUGGAGGAACACCGAUGGCGAAGGCAGCCCCCUGGGUCAAGAUUGACGCUCAUGCACGAAAGCGUGGGGAGCAAACAGG
rnacentral:rRNA from 1 species